rnacentral:rRNA from 1 species
AAACCAACAGGGAUUGCCCCAGUAACGGCGAGUGAGCGGCAAGAGCUCAAAUUUGAAAUCUGGCCUCCCCCGGGGGCCCGAGUUGUAAUUUGCAGAGGAUGCUUCGGGUGCGGCCGCCGUCUAAGUUCCUUGGAACAGGACGUCAGAGAGGGUGAGAAUCCCGUCUUGGGCGGGCGGUCCGCGCCCGUGUGAAGCUCCUUCGACGAGUCGAGUUGUUUGGGAAUGCAGCUCUAAGCGGGUGGUAAAUUUCAUCUAAAGCUAAAUAUUGGCCGGAGACCGAUAGCGCACAAGUAGAGUGAUCGAAAGGUUAAAAGCACCUUGAAAAGGGAGUUAAACAGCACGUGAAAUUGUUGAAAGGGAAGCGCUUGCGGCCAGACUCGGGGGCGGGGUUCAGCGGGUGCUCGUCGCCCGUGUAUUCCUCGUCUCCCGGGCCAGCAUCAGUUUCGACGGCCGGUCAAAGGCCCCCGGAAUGUGUCGUCUCUCGGGACGUCUUAUAGCCGGGGGUGCAAUGCGGCCCGUCGGGACUGAGGAACGCGCUCCGGCUCGGAUGCUGGCGUAAUGGCCGUAAGCGGC